rnacentral:rRNA from 1 species
UCUCGAAAGUUAGAGGGUAGUAUUAGAAGUUCUAGAAACCUAAAAUUUUUGGCGGUCUUUUAGACUAGUUAGAGGAACCUGUUCUGUAAUAGAUAUUCCGCUUAUGGUUUAACUUUUUUUAUGGUAUAUAUACCGCCGUCGUAAAGUAGUUUUUUUAGAAACUAUUGGGAAACUAGAUUUGGGGUGAUGACAGGUCAAGGUGUAGCUUAUAGAGAAGGGUGAAAUGGGUUACAAUAUUUAAUUAGUAUUACGAAUGAUAAUUUAAAAAUUUUGUCUGAAGGUGGAUUUAAAAGUAAGAACUGAGAAUUAAGAUGGAGGUUUGAUUUUAGCUCUAAGGGAUGU